AAUUCACUUGCCUAUGACAAGCCCGGACCAACUUAUAAGUUGACAUUCAUAAUGCUUCUGCAGAUGCUGAGAAAAUAGAAGAAACAGGACUUAGGAUACCCCAUUCCUGGAGGAGAUGGAGAACUAAGAAAUGUGGUAACAACUGGAGAGCUUCCUUCAGAACCUCCCAACACCAAGCUAGAUCUGGCAAUGUGUGAAUCAACCUCAUCAUCGGUGUGUACAUCCCUGGAAAGCAAACUGCCAAGCAUCUGACAGCGUGGCCAAAAAUAUCAUGCCAAAAAGCAUGGGAGCAAGCACCACCCAGCCCUGCUUCACUCUCUUGAUAA